rnacentral:rRNA from 1 species
UACGUAGGGUGCAAGGCGUUAAUCGGAAUUACUGGGCGUAAAGCGUGCGCAGGCGGCUUUGCAAGACAGAUGUGAAAUCCCCGGGCUUAACCUGGGAACUGCAUUUGUGACUGCAUGGCUGGAGUGCGGGCAGAGGGGGAUGGAAUUCCGGCGUGUAGCAGUGAAAUGCGUAGAUAUGCGGAGGAACACCGAUGGCGAAGGCAAUCCCCUGGACCUGUACUGACGCUCAUGCACGAAAGCGUGGGGAGCAAACAGG